AGUUAUCGUGGCUGCUAUCAGUGAUGGACCGCAAUGGAGGGUGCCCUAUAGGUUUUGUCAUCGGGUGAAACAGGAACAAAUGUAGGUCUGCUGGGGUCUUGGCACAGUACCACAUGGACCUGGACAAAAGCAUUGUUAAGGUAGAGAAAUGAGGCAAAGAGGGAUUAAGAUCCUUGCCCCUGGUCCCAAAGUUAGAGCCAUUACUUGAGGCUUUCCUUCCAUUAACUGAAGACUUAGGUAGAAGAAGAAUGAGAUUGGAACUCAGACCUGGACUCUUGUCCUACCUACUCUGCUUUGUGAAUUAGGGCAAGUCAUUUAACCUCUCUGAAUUUCAUUUUCCUCUGCUGUAACAGAUGAACACUUUGAACUAUUGUACUUUAUUGAAUCCUGAGUCAUCAAAAAUCCUUAAAAGGGUGCCUUCACCAUUAUCUGCUGGAUUUUCUUCCAAGCCCCUGACACUCAUUCCAUAGGUUUUGAUGCACACAUGCUGGCAGUGAGAACUCUAUUGCUGCCUGGUCUGACCGCACUGUAAGACGUGGCUGAUUUCAGAGAUGUCAGAAUGUAAAAUACUGUGCAUCUUGGAAUUGAUGACAGACCGUAGGUGAUCUCUGAGCUCCUUUUCAACCUCAGUUCUAUGACAUCUGUGACUUAAUAACAUUU